rnacentral:rRNA from 1 species
GACGAACGCUGGCGGCGUGCUUAACACAUGCAAGUCGAGCGGUAAGGCCCUUUCGGGGGUACACGAGCGGCGAACGGGUGAGUAACACGUGGGUGACCUGCCUUUAGCUCUGGGAUAAGCCUGGGAAACUGGGUCUAAUACCGGAUAUGACUCCGCGGUGCAUGCUGUGGGGUGGAAAGCCUUGUGCGGCUGGAGAUGGGCCCGCGGCCUAUCAGCUUGUUGGUGGGGUGAUGGCCUACCAAGGCGACGACGGGUAGCCGGCCUGAGAGGGCGACCGGCCACACUGGGACUGAGACACGGCCCAGACUCCUACGGGAGGCAGCAGGUGGGGAAUCUUGCGCAAUGGGCGAAAGCCUGACGCAGCGACGCCGCGUGAGGGAUGACGG